ensembl:lncRNA
GAUUUGCCUUUUGUCCAGCCACUCAACCUCUUGAGCCCCAUUUCCUUAUCUGCCAGAGACAGUGAAUUUCGCCUUAGGGUUGGUUGCGGGGAGAAAUGAAGCCAGGCAACUGUGAGGCCUGGCCUCUAACAGGCCAGCUCAUGCCAACAACCAAAUGGAUUACCCCAGCCAACUGCCCCCAUCAUCUCUGAAUCCUACAUUCUGCCCCUGUCGUGGACUUCUCCUCACUUUUAGCUGGCUGUCUCCAGAACUUUUUCUCACCUGGUAGCUGCGUCUGUGGCCCUAGAUCCUGUUGUUCGUGAUGAGAGCACUGACACUCAGAGGGAUUACAUCACUUGUCCAGACCACACAGCUGGGAUGUUGCAGAGCUGGAGUCAAUACUGAGUAUUUCUGUGUCUUACAGUCCUUGCCCUUUGCAAAUCGUGAAAAUUAAAAAGAUAAUGGACGUGACAGACUUUGUACCAAUAUAACAGUCUUAUUAAAAUAACUUUUUCAAAAUAAUUCCGUGUUUCCUGGCCUCCAUCUGCCAAGGCAAGCCAGUAUUCCAUGUCAAAUCUCCUCUAAGAAGUCCUCAGGAUCUCUGGGGGUGUCUUAUCUGCAUUCCAGAACUAGUCCUGCCAGUUGCCAUGUGACCUUACCAUUGCUAACCCUGAUUGAGUAGACUCUUACAGUGUUCCUAGCAUCUGGACUAGCCUUUAACACGCACGAUUUCAUACACAUGUCCACACACCCCUAAACAAACAAAUGAACAAGCGUAUAUAUAUUUAAGUAUAUGUGUGUGUGUGUGCUGUGCUCAGUUGCUCAGUCGUCUCCGACUCUUUGCAACCCUAUAGAUUGUAGCCUGCCAGGUUCCUCUGCCCAUGGGAUUCUCCAGGCAAGAAUACUGGAGUGGGUUGCCAUGCCCUUCUCCAGGGGAUCUUCCUGACCCAGGGACUGAACCCGCGUCUCUUGGGCCUCCUGCAUUGGCAGGUGGAUUCUUGACCACUAGCACCACCUGACAUGUAAAAUAUUGCUGCUACUUCACACAGAGAGGUGCUGAC